UAAGCCACUUUUUCAUAGCAGCAGCCAGCACCUGCAAAGGCAGCGUUUGCCUUCUCUCCCCAGCCAGCUCUUUAGAAUCACUAAUUGGAGAAACAGCUUCUAAGGCCAGAAGGAACCACUGUGAUCAUCUAGGCUGACCCCCUGUAUAACCCGGGUCAUAGAACCUCUCUGAAUUCAUUCCCAUUUGAACUAAUCAUUUAGAAAAACAUCCAAUCUUGAUGUAAAGGUGUCCAAUGAUGGAGAGUCCACCACAACCCUGGCGGGGCCUCACUGACUCUUCUUCUCCAUGCCUGGAGGCUCAUCAGCUUUGAUCCAGGACCUGCUCACAGAUGAACAGAACAAUCAUCAGCAUCCUCUGUCUGUUUCAUUCAUCCACUCAUGGUUGUCAUCUCACCGGGCCGGCUCCAGGCACCAGCUGAUCAGGACCUGCCUACCACUGCUUCUUGCUCUCCUGCUUUCCCUGCAAGGGGAAGUUAGUCGGGUUAUGGGGCAUGCUCCCCAUACUGCUCCAUGGAGCCAGAGCUGGAGUCCAUCUUGCAGCCAUGGAGUGGGGAGGUGGGUAGUCAGAAGCCAAGGCUUGUGAGUUGGGUUGCUGCAGAACAGUGCAGCAUUCAGGUCCCAGAGAGAUGAGCAUUUUAUACUCCCCUCUUCCCCGUCAAAUGUGAGGUAGGAAGUGGGGGAAGAGGUUCUGAGCCGAGCCUCCUUGACAGCAUCAUGGGCCUGGGGAGUGGAGACAGCUGCCUGGAGAGCACAGCGAAAAAAAACAUCCCCAGAAAUAAUUACUGUCAAAAAUAGCCAGGCAAUCUGAAUAGCUGAAUUCAUCGACAGUUGUGUGUGUUGGUGGGGGGAUGGGAUGGAAGGGUAUUCCAUGGCAAUAGUACAGCGGUUCUCACACUGUGGGUCAGGACCCCAAAGUGGGUCGUGACCCCAUUUCAAUGGGGUCGCCAGGGCUGGCUUAGACUU